CGGAUGACAGGAGCUUGCUCCUUGUUUCACCGGCGGACGGGUGAGUAAUACCUAGGAAUCUGCCUGGUAGUGGGGGACAACGUUUCGAAAGGAACGCUAAUACCGCAUACGUCCUACGGGAGAAAGCAGGGGACCUUCGGGCCUUGCGCUAUCAGAUGAGCCUAGGUCGGAUUAGCUAGUUGGUGAGGUAAUGGCUCACCAAGGCUACGAUCCGUAACUGGUCUGAGAGGAUGAUCAGUCACACUGGAACUGAGACACGGUCCAGACUCCUACGGGAGGCAGCAGUGGGGAAUAUUGGACAAUGGGCGAAAGCCUGAUCCAGCCAUGCCGCGUGUGUGAAGAAGGUCUUCGGAUUGUAAAGCACUUUAAGUUGGGAGGAAGGGCAUUAACCUAAUACGUUAGUGUUUUGACGUUACCGACAGAAUAAGCACCGGCUAACUCUGUGCCAGCAGCCGCGGUAAUACAGAGGGUGCAAGCGUUAAUCGGAAUUACUGGGCGUAAAGCGCGCGUAGGUGGUUCGUUAAGUUGGAUGUGAAAUCCCCGGGCUCAACCUGGGAACUGCAUCCAAAACUGGCGAGCUAGAGUAGGGCAGAGGGUGGUGGAAUUUCCUGUGUAGCGGUGAAAUGCGUAGAUAUAGGAAAGGAACACCAGUGGCGAAAGGCGACCACCUGGGCUCAUACUGACACUGAGGUGCGAAAGCGUGGGGAGCAAAACAGGAUUAGAUACCCUGGUAGUCCACGGCCGUAAACGAUGUCAACUAGCCGUUUGCAAUCCUUGAGAUUUUAGUCGCGCAGCUACUGCAUCUAAACUUGAUCGCCUGG
rnacentral:rRNA from 1 species